rnacentral:rRNA from 1 species
UACAGGCUUAACACAUGCAAGUCGAGGGGCUGCAUGGUCUUAGCUUGCUAAGACUGAUGGCGACCGGCGCACGGGUGAGUAACACGUAUCCAACCUGCUGUCUACUCUUGGACAGCCUUCUGAAAGGAAGAUUAAUACAAGAUGGCAUCAUGAGUCCGCAUGUUCACAUGAUUAAAGGUAUUCCGGUAGACGAUGGGGGUGCGUUCCAUUAGAUAGUAGGCGGGGUAACGGCCCACCUAGUCUUCGAUGGAUAGGGGUUCUGAGAGGAAGGUCCCCCACAUUGGAACUGAGACACGGUCCAAACUCCUACGGGAGGCAGCAGUGAGGAAUAUUGGUCAAUGGGCGAGAGCCUGAACCAGCCAAGUAGCGUGAAGGAUGACUGCCCUAUGGGUUGUAAACUUCUUUUAUAAAGGAAUAAAGUCGGGUAUGCAUACCCGUUUGCAUGUACUUUAUGAAUAAGGAUCGGCUAACUCCGUGCCAGCAGCCGCGGUAAUACGGAGGAUCCGAGCGUUAUCCGGAUUUAUUGGGUUUAAAGGGAGCGUAGAUGGAUGUUUAAGUCAGUUGUGAAAGUUUGCGGCUCAACCGUAAAAUUGCAGUUGAUACUGGAUAUCCUGAGUGCAGUUGAGGCAGGCGGAAUUCGUGGUGUAGCGGUGAAAUGCUUAGAUAUCACGAAGAACUCCGAUUGCGAAGGCAGCCUGCUAAGCUGCAACUGACAUUGAGGCUCGAAAGUGUGGGUAUCAAACAGGAUUAGAUACCCUGGUAGUCCACACGGUAAACGAUGAAUACUCGCUGUUUGCGAUAUACUGCAAGCGGCCAAGCGAAAGCGUUAAGUAUUCCACCUGGGGAGUACGCCGGCAACGGUGAAACUCAAAGGAAUUGACGGGGGCCCGCACAAGCGGAGGAACAUGUGGUUUAAUUCGAUGAUACGCGAGGAACCUUACCCGGGCUUAAAUUGCAGAUGAAUUACGGUGAAAGCCGUAAGCCGCAAGGCAUCUGUGAAGGUGCUGCAUGGUUGUCGUCAGCUCGUGCCGUGAGGUGUCGGCUUAAGUGCCAUAACGAGCGCAACCCUUGUUGUCAGUUACUAACAGGUUCCGCUGAGGACUCUGACAAGACUGCCAUCGUAAGAUGUGAGGAAGGUGGGGAUGACGUCAAAUCAGCACGGCCCUUACGUCCGGGGCUACACACGUGUUACAAUGGGGGGUACAGAGGGCCGCUACCACGCGAGUGGAUGCCAAUCCCCAAAACCUCUCUCAGUUCGGACUGGAGUCUGCAACCCGACUCCACGAAGCUGGAUUCGCUAGUAAUCGCGCAUCAGCCACGGCGCGGUGAAUACGUUCCCGGGCCUUGUACACACCGCCCGUCAAGCCAUGGGAGCCGGGGGUACCUGAAGUGCGUAACCGCGAGGAGCGCCCUAGGGUAAAACUGGUGACUGGGG